rnacentral:rRNA from 1 species
GCUUGUCUCAAAGAUUAAGCCAUGCAUGUCUAAGUAUAAGCAACGUUAUACAGUGAAACUGCGAAUGGCUCAUUAUAUCAGUUAUAGUCUACUUGAUAGUACCUUACUACUUGGAUAACCGUAGUAAUUCUAGAGCUAAUACAUGCAUAAAUACCCGACUUUACGGAAGGGUAGCGUUUAUUAGAUUGAAACCAAUCCAGAAAACCUGGUAUUGUGUUGAGUCAUGAUAACUGUGCGGAUCGCAAAAAUGCGAUGAAUCAAUUGAGUUUCUGCCCUAUCAGCUUUGGAUGGUAGGAUAUGGGCCUACCAUGGCAUUAACGGGUAACGGGGAAUUAGGGUUUGAUUCCGGAGAGGGAGCCUUAGAAACGGCUACCACAUCCAAGGAAGGCAGCAGG